GAUGAACGCUGGCGGCGUGCCUAAUACAUGCAAGUCGAGCGAACAGACAAGGAGCUUGCUCCUUUGACGUUAGCGGCGGACGGGUGAGUAACACGUGGGUAACCUACCUAUAAGACUGGGAUAACUUCGGGAAACCGGAGCUAAUACCGGAUAAUAUUUCGAACCGCAUGGUUCGAUAGUGAAAGAUGGUUUUGCUAUCACUUAUAGAUGGACCCGCGCCGUAUUAGCUAGUUGGUAAGGUAACGGCUUACCAAGGCGACGAUACGUAGCCGACCUGAGAGGGUGAUCGGCCACACUGGAACUGAGACACGGUCCAGACUCCUACGGGAGGCAGCAGUAGGGAAUCUUCCGCAAUGGGCGAAAGCCUGACGGAGCAACGCCGCGUGAGUGAUGAAGGUCUUCGGAUCGUAAAACUCUGUUAUUAGGGAAGAACAUACAUGUAAGUAACUAUGCACGUCUUGACGGUACCUAAUCAGAAAGCCACGGCUAACUACGUGCCAGCAGCCGCGGUAAUACGUAGGUGGCAAGCGUUAUCCGGAAUUAUUGGGCGUAAAGCGCGCGUAGGCGGUUUUUUAAGUCUGAUGUGAAAGCCCACGGCUCAACCGUGGAGGGUCAUUGGAAACUGGAAAACUUGAGUGCAGAAGAGGAAAGUGGAAUUCCAUGUGUAGCGGUGAAAUGCGCAGAGAUAUGGAGGAACACCAGUGGCGAAGGCGACUUUCUGGUCUGUAACUGACGCUGAUGUGCGAAAGCGUGGGGAUCAAACAGGAUUAGAUACCCUGGUAGUCCACGCCGUAAACGAUGAGUGCUAAGUGUUAGGGGGUUUCCGCCCCUUAGUGCUGCAGCUAACGCAUUAAGCACUCCGCCUGGGGAGUACGACCGCAAGGUUGAAACUCAAAGGAAUUGACGGGGACCCGCACAAGCGGUGGAGCAUGUGGUUUAAUUCGAAGCAACGCGAAGAACCUUACCAAAUCUUGACAUCCUCUGACAACUCUAGAGAUAGAGCCUUCCCCUUCGGGGGACAAAGUGACAGGUGGUGCAUGGUUGUCGUCAGCUCGUGUCGUGAGAUGUUGGGUUAAGUCCCGCAACGAGCGCAACCCUUAAGCUUAGUUGCCAUCAUUAAGUUGGGCACUCUAAGUUGACUGCCGGUGACAAACCGGAGGAAGGUGGGGAUGACGUCAAAUCAUCAUGCCCCUUAUGAUUUGGGCUACACACGUGCUACAAUGGACAAUACAAAGGGCAGCGAAACCGCGAGGUCAAGCAAAUCCCAUAAAGUUGUUCUCAGUUCGGAUUGUAGUCUGCAACUCGACUACAUGAAGCUGGAAUCGCUAGUAAUCGUAGAUCAGCAUGCUACGGUGAAUACGUUCCCGGGUCU
rnacentral:rRNA from 1 species